rnacentral:rRNA from 1 species
UACGUAGGGAGCAAGCGUUGUUCGGAUUUACUGGGCGUAAAGGGCUCGUAGGCGGUCUGUCGCGUCGGGAGUGAAAACUCAGGGCUUAACCCUGAGCCUGCUUCCGAUACGGGCAGACUAGAGGUAUGCAGGGGAGAACGGAAUUCCUGGUGUAGCGGUGGAAUGCGCAGAUAUCAGGAGGAACACCGGUGGCGAAGGCGGUUCUCUGGGCAUUACCUGACGCUGAGGAGCGAAAGUGUGGGGAGCGAACAGG